rnacentral:rRNA from 1 species
UACAGAGGUCCCAAGCGUUGUUCGGAUUCACUGGGCGUAAAGGGUGCGUAGGUGGCGAGGAAAGUCGGAUGUGAAAGCUCGGAGCUCAACUCCGAAAUGGCAUUGGAAACUACCUUGCUCGAGGGUUGGAGGGGGACUGGAAUUCUCGGUGUAGCAGUGAAAUGCGUAGAUAUCGAGAGGAACACCAGUGGCGAAGGCGAGUCCCUGGACAACUCCUGACACUGAGGCACGAAAGCUAGGGGAGCAAACAGG